CGGCAAAAGCUCAAAUUUGAAAUCUGGCCUCCUAUGGGGGUCCGAGUUGUAAUUUGCAGAGGGCGCUUUGGUGUUGGCAGCGGUCCAAGUUCCUUGGAACAGGACGUCGCAGAGGGUGAGAAUCCCGUACGUGGUCGCCUGCCUCCGCCGUGUAAAGCCCCUUCGAC
rnacentral:rRNA from 1 species